GAUGAACGCUGACAGAAUGCUUAACACAUGCAAGUCAACUUGAAUUUGGGUUUUUAACUUAGGUUUGGGUGGCGGACGGGUGAGUAACGCGUAAAGAACUUGCCUCACAGCUAGGGACAACAUUUGGAAACGAAUGCUAAUACCUAAUAUUAUGAUAAUAGGGCAUCCUAUAAUUAUGAAAGCUAUAAGCGCUGUGAGAGAGCUUUGCGUCCCAUUAGCUAGUUGGAGAGGUAACGGCUCACCAAGGCGAUGAUGGGUAGCCGGCCUGAGAGGGUGAUCGGCCACAAGGGGACUGAGACACGGCCCUUACUCCUUCGGGAGGCAGCAGUGGGGAAUAUUGGACAAUGGACCGAGAGUCUGAUCCAGCAAUUCUGUGUGCACGAUGAAGUUUUUCGGAAUGUAAAGUGCUUUCAGUUGGGAAGAAACAAAUGACGGUACCAACAGAAGAAGUGACGGCUAAAUACGUG
rnacentral:rRNA from 1 species